rnacentral:rRNA from 1 species
GACGAACGCUGGCGGCGUGCCUAAUACAUGCAAGUUGAGCGAUGAAGCUUGGUGCUUGCACCAAUUUGAAGAGCAGCGAACGGGUGAGUAACGCGUGGGGAAUCUGCCUUUGAGCGGGGGACAACAUUUGGAAACGAAUGCUAAUACCGCAUAAUAACUUUAAACAUAAGUUUUAAGUUUGAAAGAUGCAAUUGCAUCACUCAAAGAUGAUCCCGCGUUGUAUUAGCUAGUUGGUGAGGUAAAGGCUCACCAAGGCGAUGAUACAUAGCCGACCUGAGAGGGUGAUCGGCCCCAUCUGGACUGGGACACGGCCCAAACUCCUACGGGAGGCAGCAGUAGGGAAUCUUCGGCAAUGGACGAAAGUCUGACCGAGCAACGCCGCGUGAGUGAAGAAGGUUUUCGGAUCGUAAAACUCUGUUGGUAGAGAAGAACGUUGGUGAGAGUGGAAAGCUCAUCAAGUGACGGUAACUACCCAGAAAGGGACGGCUAACUACGUG